GUGAAGCCGAACAAAUGGAGCCCGGAGGUUAAUAACGCUGUCUCUACUGGGACAGAAGACAGAUGACAUCACGUCGCAGGCAGUAAUGCCUUGGUGCAUUCCUGAGCUAGCCCUUGGGACGUAUCCAUUAACCCAGCUAGGAGACAAAGGUGACCUCACAAUCCCCACAGCACUGGAGGAAAGCCCUAGGAAGGCCCCCAGGAGCAAGCUAAGCCCUACCUCCUGCUCCAGUCUGGCUAAGUGCACUUCAACUACUCCUGUAUCAUCCAUCAUAGUGUGGUAAUUCAAGCAAAUGGAUCCAGUUUGACAUGCUUGAAAUAAGCAUCAUACCCCCAACCAACUAAACUAUAAGGCCAUCUGCUCUUUUAUUUUUUGAGGGCAUGCUUGAUUUUAUUUUUCCUACUCAUCUGCUUUUCCAUAUUGUCACUUGAAUUCAAGUAGAGCCAAACACAA